rnacentral:rRNA from 1 species
AGUCGAGCGGUAACAGAUCCAGCUUGCUGGAUGCUGACGAGCGGCGGACGGGUGAGUAAUGCAUAGGAAUCUGCCCGAUAGUGGGGGAUAACCUGGGGAAACCCAGGCUAAUACCGCAUACGUCCUACGGGAGAAAGGGGGCUUCGGCUCCCGCUAUCGGAUGAGCCUAUGUCGGAUUAGCUAGUUGGUGAGGUAACGGCUCACCAAGGCCACGAUCCGUAGCUGGUCUGAGAGGAUGAUCAGCCACAUCGGGACUGAGACACGGCCCGAACUCCUACGGGAGGCAGCAGUGGGGAAUAUUGGACAAUGGGGGCAACCCUGAUCCAGCCAUGCCGCGUGUGUGAAGAAGGCCCUCGGGUUGUAAAGCACUUUCAGCGAGGAAGAACGCCUAGCGGUUAAUACCCGCUAGGAAAGACAUCACUCGCAGAAGAAGCACCGGCUAACUCCGUGCCAGCAGCCGCGGUAA